UACGGGGGGAGCAAGCGUUGUUCGGAUUUACUGGGCGUAAAGGGCGCGUAGGCGGUCAGUGCAAGUCAGUUGUGAAAUCUCCGGGCUUAACUCGGAAAGGUCAACUGAUACUGCUCGACUAGAGUGCGGAAGGGGCAACUGGGAAUUCUUGGUGUAGCGGUGAAAUGCGUAGAUAUCAAGAGGAACACCUGCGGCGAAGGCGGGUUGCUGGGCCGACACUGACGCUGAUGCGCGAAAGCCAGGGGAGCGAAACGGG
rnacentral:rRNA from 1 species